UCCCUGGUGGCUUAGAUGGUAAAGAAUCUGCCUGAAAUGCAGGAGACCCAGGUUCAAUCCCUGGAUUGGGAA
rnacentral:tRNA from 1 species